UACGAAGGGGGCUAGCGUUGUUCGGAAUUACUGGGCGUAAAGCGCACGUAGGCGGCUUUGUAAGUUAGAGGUGAAAGCCCGGGGCUCAACUCCGGAAUUGCCUUUAAGACUGCAUCGCUAGAAUUGUGGAGAGGUAAGUGGAAUUCCGAGUGUAGAGGUGAAAUUCGUAGAUAUUCGGAAGAACACCAGUGGCGAAGGCGACUUACUGGACACAUAUUGACGCUGAGGUGGCGAAAGCGUGGGAGCAAACAGG
rnacentral:rRNA from 1 species